CCACAGGAACCAAGCGGAGGCCACUACUGGAUGUCUGGCUGGUGCUGGAACCCGGAUCGCUGGAGUGUGGAUUGCCGCUCGCUGAUCGCUGAUGGGUUUUUCUGUCCACUGCAACUCUGCUCUGCCGCUGCCGCCAGUUCGCUGUGUCCAGGGAAUCUCCAGAGCCUUCCUACUGGUUGAGAUUUUCCAGAGAAGCAUAGCCGAAAGAAGAUGAAAAUACAUAGAAGUUGACUUAAUUGAUUAUGGAAGUCAAGAAACCGCAUGACCUGCUGUCAGCAAGCAAGAGACCAAGGAAAGUCAAUGGUGUAAUCACACUGAGUCUGAAGGCCUGCAUACCUGUGGGUGGAAGAAAGCCACAUCCCAGCUGUUAGAGCACACGCAUCCUCCCUCUGAGGCUUUCUUCUAGUUGGAUCUCCAACUAGAUUGUAGGAUGCCCAUUUGCCUUGAAGCCUCUAGCUUUCCGCUAGGAUAGAACAGAUGGUCCCUGGGAGAAGGGGUCUGGUGGCUGAACCUGCCCUCCUGCUCCUGGCUGCAUCUUCAUCUCCAUCAUCUGGGUACGUAUUGCAGGCUGAUAAGCAUUUUGGCUGAGAAAGAGGAGCCCCAGCCCGAAGCAGGACCCCAAGGCACCUGCAUGCCACUGAGGGCAGUGCCCGAGAGGCAGCCG